UACGAAGGGGGCUAGCGUUGCUCGGAAUCACUGGGCGUAAAGGGUGCGUAGGCGGGUCUUUAAGUCAGGGGUGAAAUCCUGGAGCUCAACUCCAGAACUGCCUUUGAUACUGAGGAUCUUGAGUUCGGGGAGAGGUGAGUGGAACUGCGAGUGUAGAGGUGAAAUUCGUAGAUAUUCGGAAGAACACCAGUGGCGAAGGCGGCUCACUGGCCCGGUACUGACGCUCAGGUGCGAAAGCGUGGGGAGCAAACAGG
rnacentral:rRNA from 1 species